GGUAAUAAGACACAAAUUAAUGACGACUAGCCAGAACAGUUGCUUUGUUCCCCCAGUUAUAAUGAGAUGAUGAUGACAAUGAUAAUUGUGUUUGUCACUACUUCUCAUGUCCAAUUUCCUCUUUAACCCUUACACUACCACAAGAGAUCAAAAUAUAACUUCUCUUAAUAUUUUUUCUCCUUCUCUGAUACCUUAAUGACAAAUUUGCUGUCACGAAUUCAUUUCAAAGCCAGUAAUUUGCUGGUAACUAAAGUGAUUUGAGAGAGAAAGAGAAAAGACAGGAUUAAUAAGUUAUUGAAAAGCUUGAUUUGCUCAAAAAUACUGCCCAGCCAGUAAAACCGAAUAUAAUUAUGAAAAACUGCAACGAAGCUAAGGGUGUAUUUUGUGAAUCACUGAUGCAUGCCCUGCGGGCAGAGAUAGGAAAAUCUAGACCGCAGUAGGGGCCAAUUGGAAUGGCAAGAUUCGUUACCAUGCCCUCUAAGAAAAAAAAUCACAUCAGUACCACAAUGAUUGAAUCUAGAAGAGGAAUGCUGUUAAUGGGCGCAUGUGAUCAAACACAGUUUGGUGCACACUCCCUAUGGACAAAAGCUACACCUAUACACUCUGCAAGACCGAUGAGGAGAAGAGGAAUGGAACUAGCGUUGCUGAUAACUUCCAGCAAGUAAAAACCAGUUGAUUGCACGAAUAAUAGGUUACUGAUACACAUAGUGAGACAGAAUGUUCCUACAAAAGAUAAAGGCGAAAUUAGUUUACGAG